UACGUAGGGUGCAAGCGUUGUCCGGAAUUAUUGGGCGUAAAGGGCGCGUAGGCGGCUUGGCAAGUGGAAGGUGAAAUCCCUCGGCUUAACCGAGGAACUGCCCUCCAAACUGCUUUGCUUGAGGCCGGGAGAGGCGAGUGGAAUUCCCAGUGUAGCGGUGAAAUGCGUAGAUAUUGGGAGGAACACCAGUGGCGAAGGCGGCUCGCUGGACCGGUUCUGACGCUGAUGCGCGAAAGCGUGGGGAGCAAACGGG
rnacentral:rRNA from 1 species